GAUGAAGAACGUAGUGAAAUGCGAUAACUAAUGUGAAUUGCAGAAUUCAGUGAAUCAUCGAGUCUUUGAACGCACAUUGCGCCCCCUGGUAUUCCGGGGGGCAUGUCUGUCCGAGCGUCAUUGCUGCCCUCAAGCACGGCUUGUGUGUUGGGCUCCGUCCCCCCGGGGACGGGUCCGAAAGGCAGCGGCGGCACCGAGUCCGGUCCUCGAGCGUAUGGGGCUUUGUCACCCGCUCUGUAGGCCCGGCCGGCGCCAGCCGACAACCAAUCAUCCUUUUUUCAGGUUGACCUCGGAUCAGGUAGGGAUACCCGCUGAACUUAAGCAUAUCAAUAAGCGGAGGA
rnacentral:misc_RNA from 1 species